rnacentral:rRNA from 1 species
UGCACCAGAUGAAACUAGAUACAAGCGAGCGGCGGACGGGUGAGUAACACGUGGGUAACCUGCCCAAGAGACUGGGAUAACACCUGGAAACAGAUGCUAAUACCGGAUAACAACACUAGACGCAUGUCUAGAGUUUAAAAGAUGGUUCUGCUAUCACUCUUGGAUGGACCUGCGGUGCAUUAGCUAGUUGGUAAGGUAACGGCUUACCAAGGCAAUGAUGCAUAGCCGAGUUGAGAGACUGAUCGGCCACAUUGGGACUGAGACACGGCCCAAACUCCUACGGGAGGCAGCAGUAGGGAAUCUUCCACAAUGGACGCAAGUCUGAUGGAGCAACGCCGCGUGAGUGAAGAAGGGUUUCGGCUCGUAAAGCUCUGUUGGUAGUGAAGAAAGAUAGAGGUAGUAACUGGCCUUUAUUUGACGGUAAUUACUUAGAAAGUCACGGCUAACUACGUGCCAGCAGCCGCGGUAAUACGUAGGUGGCAAGCGUUGUCCGGAUUUAUUGGGCGUAAAGCGAGUGCAGGCGGUUCAAUAAGUCUGAUGUGAAAGCCUUCGGCUCAACCGGAGAAUUGCAUCAGAAACUGUUGAACUUGAGUGCAGAAGAGGAGAGUGGAACUCCAUGUGUAGCGGUGGAAUGCGUAGAUAUAUGGAAGAACACCAGUGGCGAAGGCGGCUCUCUGGUCUGCAACUGACGCUGAGGCUCGAAAGCAUGGGUAGCGAACAGG